rnacentral:ncRNA from 2 species
CUUCCUGAGGAGCGCUGCAACGGCGUCGGGGCCGGCUUUAUCGCUGCCACCACCCGCUAGGCUCAGGUUGUCUUUUUCGUUUCAACUGCGCUCAUCGUUC